rnacentral:rRNA from 1 species
AUACGAACCGUACGAACGUUAUUCGGAAUUACUGGGCUUAAAGGGUGCGUAGGCGGCACGACAGGUGGGAUGUGAAAUCCCCCGGCUUAACCGGGGAACUGCGUUCCAAACCGUCGCGCUUGAGAGAGACAGAGGUGAGCGGAACUUGCAGUGGAGCGGUGAAAUGCGUUGAUAUUGCAAGGAACACCAGUGGCGAAGGCGGCUCACUGGGUCUCUUCUGACGCUGAGGCACGAAAGCUAGGGGAGCGAACGGGAUUAGAAACCCCGGUAGUCC